rnacentral:rRNA from 1 species
UACAGAGGUGGCAAGCGUUGUUCGGAAUUACUGGGCGUAAAGGGCUCGUAGGCGGCCAACUAAGUCAGACGUGAAAUCCCUCGGCUUAACCGGGGAACUGCGUCUGAUACUGAGAGUCUUGAGUCCGGGAGAGGUGAGUGGAACUGCGAGUGUAGAGGUGAAAUUCGUAGAUAUUCGCAAGAACACCAGUGGCGAAGGCGGCUCACUGGCCCGGUACUGACGCUGAGGUGCGAAAGCGUGGGGAGCAAACAGG